GGGUUGUGAGGUUAAGCGACUAAGCGUACACGGUGGAUGCCCUGGCAGUCAGAGGCGAUGAAGGACGUGCUAAUCUGCGAUAAGCGUCGGUAAGGUGAUAUGAACCGUUAUAACCGGCGAUUUCCGAAUGGGGAAACCCAGUGUGUUUCGACACACUAUCAUUAACUGAAUCCAUAGGUUAAUGAGGCGAACCGGGGGAACUGAAACAUCUAAGUACCCCGAGGAAAAGAAAUCAACCGAGAUUCCCCCAGUAGCGGCGAGCGAACGGGGAGCAGCCCAGAGCCUGAAUCAGUAUGUGUGUUAGUGGAAGCGUCUGGAAAGGCGCGCGAUACAGGGUGACAGCCCCGUACACAAAAAUGCACAUGCUGUGAGCUCGAUGAGUAGGGCGGGACACGUGGUAUCCUGUCUGAAUAUGGGGGGACCAUCCUCCAAGGCUAAAUACUCCUGACUGACCGAUAGUGAACCAGUACCGUGAGGGAAAGGCGAAAAGAACCCCGGCGAGGGGAGUGAAAAAGAACCUGAAACCGUGUACGUACAAGCAGUGGGAGCACGCUUAGGCGUGUGACUGCGUACCUUUUGUAUAAUGGGUCAGCGACUUAUAUUCUGUAGCAAGGUUAACCGAAUAGGGGAGCCGAAGGGAAACCGAGUCUUAACUGGGCGUUAAGUUGCAGGGUAUAGACCCGAAACCCGGUGAUCUAGCCAUGGGCAGGUUGAAGGUUGGGUAACACUAACUGGAGGACCGAACCGACUAAUGUUGAAAAAUUAGCGGAUGACUUGUGGCUGGGGGUGAAAGGCCAAUCAAACCGGGAGAUAGCUGGUUCUCCCCGAAAGCUAUUUAGGUAGCGCCUCGUGAAUUCAUCUCCGGGGGUAGAGCACUGUUUCGGCAAGGGGGUCAUCCCGACUUACCAACCCGAUGCAAACUGCGAAUACCGGAGAAUGUUAUCACGGGAGACACACGGCGGGUGCUAACGUCCGUCGUGAAGAGGGAAACAACCCAGACCGCCAGCUAAGGUCCCAAAGUCAUGGUUAAGUGGGAAACGAUGUGGGAAGGCCCAGACAGCCAGGAUGUUGGCUUAGAAGCAGCCAUCAUUUAAAGAAAGCGUAAUAGCUCACUGGUCGAGUCGGCCUGCGCGGAAGAUGUAACGGGGCUAAACCAUGCACCGAAGCUGCGGCAGCGACGCUGAUGCGUUGUUGGGUAGGGGAGCGUUCUGUAAGCCUG
rnacentral:rRNA from 1 species